rnacentral:rRNA from 1 species
CCUACGGGCGACAGCAGUGGGGAAUAUUGGUCAAUGGACGCAAGUCUGAACCAGCCAUGCCGCGUGCAGGAAGACGGCUCUAUGAGUUGUAAACUGCUUUUGUACGAGGGUAAACGCAGAUACGCGUAUCUGUCUGAAAGUAUCGUACGAAUAAGGAUCGGCUAACUCCGUGCCAGCAGCCGCGGUAAUACGGAGGAUUCAAGCGUUAUCCGGAUUUAUUGGGUUUAAGGGGUGCGUAGGCGGUCGGAUAAGUUAGAGGUGAAAUGCCGAGGCUCAACUUCGGAAUUGCCGCUGAUACUGUUCGGCUAGAGAGUAGUUGCGGUAGGCGGAAUGUAUGGUGUAGAGGUGAAAUUCGUAGAUAUUGGGUAGAACACCGAUUGCGAAGGCAUCUCACGAAUCCGCGAUUGACGCUGAUGCACGAAAGCGUGGGUAGCAAACAGGAUUAGAUACCCGUGUAGUC